UCAGGAUGAACGCUGGCGGCGUGCUUAACACAUGCAAGUCGAACGAUGACCUCCAGCUUGCUGGGGUGAUUAGUGGCGAACGGGUGAGUAACACGUGAGUAACCUGCCCUUAACUCUGGGAUAAGCCUGGGAAACUGGGUCUAAUACCGGAUAUGACUCCUCAUCGCAUGGUGGGGGGUGGAAAGCUUUUUGUGGUUUUGGAUGGACUCGCGGCCUAUCAGCUUGUUGGUGAGGUAAUGGCUCACCAAGGCGACGACGGGUAGCCGGCCUGAGAGGGUGACCGGCCACACUGGGACUGAGACACGGCCCAGACUCCUACGGGAGGCAGCAGUGGGGAAUAUUGCACAAUGGGCGAAAGCCUGAUGCAGCGACGCCGCGUGAGGGAUGACGGCCUUCGGGUUGUAAACCUCUUUCAGUAGGGAAGAAGCGAAAGUGACGG
rnacentral:rRNA from 1 species